AGAGUUUGAUCCUGGCUUAGGAUGAACGCUAGCGGCAGGCUUAACACAUGCAAGUCGAGGGGCAGCGCGAGGUAGCAAUACUUUGGCGGCGACCGGCGGAAGGGUGCGUAACGCGUGAGCAACGUGCCCGUAUGAGGGGGAUAGUCAUUGGAAACGAUGCGUAAUACCCCGUAACAACAGUUUUUCGCAUGGGGACUGUUUGAAAGAUUUAUCGCAUACGGAUUGGCUCGCGUGACAUUAGCUAGUUGGCGGGUAACGGCCCACCAAGGCGACGAUGUCUAGGGGAACUGAGAGGUUGGUCCCCCACACUGGAACUGAGACACGGUCCAGACUCCUACGGGAGGCAGCAGUGAGGAAUAUUGGUCAAUGGGCGGAAGCCUGAACCAGCCAUGCCGCGUGAAGGAAUAAGGCCCUAUGGGUCGUAAACUUCUUUUGACGGGGAGCAAUAAGGGCGUCGUGACGUCCGAUGAGAGUACUCGUCGAAUAAGCAUCGGCUAACUCCGUGCCAGCCGCCGC
rnacentral:rRNA from 1 species